rnacentral:lncRNA from 1 species
CUCAUGUGGACCUCUAGGCCAAAGGUUUCUCACCCCUGCUCCAGGCCAACCUUGGAGUUGCUGGAUUAUCCAUAAGGAGGAAAGUCAGAGAGCAGAGGAGAAUGGAAAGUUGGGAGAGAAUGAGAAGAAGCUUUUCAGAGAGCAUCCAGUGUAAGAAAGAGGGUUGGCCUCUUCAAUUAGAGCUCCAGGCAUUUGGCCUUGGCCUGACCAGAGGUUUCAGUGUUCCCGGUCCAUGCUUGUCUUUCCUUGGCUGCCAUCAAACACUCCUCUGCCCUAAUUCAACAGCAUCCAGAAGAGGCUGUGAGAGGCACGAACAUUGAGUGACUAAGAGAGGUGACAUCAUGCCAGAGGGGAAGGAGCCCCUGGACUUGGUGUCAGAAGCGCUGGGCUCUAGUUCCGGCCAUGCCACUAACUAGCUGUGUGACCUUGGCAAGAAUAAGCUGUCCUUCCAAAUCAGGCUCCUGUUGUAGAAUUAUAGGGUCAGAAAGGAACCUUAGAAGUCCAACCUCCUCAUUUUGUAGGAUAAGGAAACCAAGCCAUAGAGAGGUCCCACAACUAGUAUAUGUCUGAGGCAGGAUUUGAAUUCUGGUCUCCCUGACUCCAAGUCAGGAGCUCCAAGCACCAUGCUACCUAACUGCCUUUAAUGAUGUUGGGGUGAGCUGAGAAGGCCAUUCCACAUUCUGGGUGAAAAAUCUCACCACCAGAGACCCAGGACAGCAAACCACUAGAGAAGAGAAAAAAGACACACGGGGUAGGAUUCUUCCUGAGUAUCUUACUCUAUCCUCAUCUGAAAGCAGGUUUAGUCUUUGAAGCCAGGGCCUUACUGGAGUCCAGAGAGCUAUGGGGCACUGGGGAGCCUGGCAGGUAGAACUAGUAUAUGGGAUUUGAUGGGAAAAAGGCAUUGUUGGUACGAUGGGAGUACUGAUCAAUGAGAGGGAAAUGCCAGUGAGAGUCUAAUGGACAGGGACAGGAACUGAGUAUACUUUGUCUGUCUCUCUGUGUCUCUCUGUCUCUGUCUCUGUCUCUGUCUCUCUCUCUCUCUCUCUCUCUCUCACACACACACACACACACACACACACACACCCUUUGCCAGUUCCUUCCUAGGUUGAGGACUCUCUCCCAAGGCAGUGGCGCUUCUUGUCAGGGGAGAAAGAGGCAGAACUUAAAGGACCCUCGAUCCAGAGCUGGGAAGGACCUCAGAGGCAUCUAGUCCAACCUCAUUUACAGACAAGGAAACAGAGAGCAAGGGAGGGUAAGUGAUUUGCCCAAGGUCAUAUGGGCAGUAAACAUCAGGGGUAGGAUUUGAACCCAG